rnacentral:rRNA from 1 species
UACGUAGGUGGCAAGCGUUGUCCGGAUUUACUGGGCGUAAAGGGCGUGCAGGCGGUUUGUUAAGUGCAGGGUGAAAGCUCCCGGCUCAACUGGGAGAGGUCCUUGCAUACUGGCGAACUCGAGGGAGGCAGAGGAAAGUGGAAUUCCCGGUGUAGUGGUGAUAUGCGUAGAUAUCGGGAGGAGCACCUGUGGCGAAGGCGGCUUUCUGGGCCUUACCUGACGCUGAGACGCGAAAGCGUGGGGAGCGAACCGG